UGCUUAACACAUGCAAGUCGAACGAUGAAGCCCAGCUUGCUGGGUGGAUUAGUGGCGAACGGGUGAGUAACACGUGAGCAACCUGCCCCUGACUCUGGGAUAAGCGCUGGAAACGGCGUCUAAUACUGGAUACGAGUAGCGAUCGCAUGGUCAGUUACUGGAAAGAUUUUUUGGUUGGGGAUGGGCUCGCGGCCUAUCAGCUUGUUGGUGAGGUAAUGGCUCACCAAGGCGUCGACGGGUAGCCGGCCUGAGAGGGUGACCGGCCACACUGGGACUGAGACACGGCCCAGACUCCUACGGGAGGCAGCAGUGGGGAAUAUUGCACAAUGGGCGGAAGCCUGAUGCAGCAACGCCGCGUGAGGGAUGACGGCCUUCGGGUUGUAAACCUCUUUUAGCAGGGAAGAAGCGAGAGUGACGGUACCUGCAGAAAAAGCGCCGGCUAACUACGUGCCAGCAGCCGCGGUAAUACGUAGGGCGCAAGCGUUAUCCGGAAUUAUUGGGCGUAAAGAGCUCGUAGGCGGUUUGUCGCGUCUGCUGUGAAAUCCCGAGGCUCAACCUCGGGCCUGCAGUGGGUACGGGCAGACUAGAGUGCGGUAGGGGAGAUUGGAAUCCUGGUGUANCGGUGGAAUGCGCAGAUAUCAGGAGGAAC
rnacentral:rRNA from 1 species